UCUUUGCAUUGGAAAGACUUGAGGAUUUUUUAUAGACGCAUCAGAAGUUCAUCAUCACAAAUCUAAACUCACAGUCACCAUGACCUUCAUCAGCAUCUUCAUCUGGAUGUUAACUUGUUUCUGUUUCAGAGAAUCAAGAGGUGAAGUGACCGUCAUUCAGACACCUGCAGUCAAAUCUGUUCAUCUACGAGACACAGUUACUAUCACCUGUAAAACUAACUCGGAAGUCUACCAGGACUGGGGUUACCCAGCAUUGUACUGGUACUUACAGAAACCUGGAGAAGCUCCUAAACUCCUGAUUACAAAAGCAAAUGAGUUACAUUCAGGAACUCCAUCAAGAUUCAGUGGCAGUGGAUCAAAAACAGAUUUUACUCUGAGCAUCAGUGAAGUUCAAACUGAAGAUGAAGGAGAUUAUUACUGUAAGAGUUUUCACUAUCCUGGUGGCAAAUGGGUGUUCACACAGUGAUAAAGAGUCGUACAAAAACCUCCAUCAGUUAAAGAGGAACUACAGACACACAGGACCCGUGUGGCACACAAACUGAAACCCCAUCAUCUCUUUUAAUACUA